AAUCUUACUUUUAGCAGAAAAAUGCCUUAGACUUAGAAUCUAAAAUCGCCCUA
rnacentral:tRNA from 1 species